GCUGUUAGUGCUGUCUGAAAGUAAUCUGGAGGAAAAAUCCUUAUUAUGCUGAAGGGAAUCUGUCACCUAUCAAACUGUAAUGGAAAUUAACUAGUGAAUUCUAGCACCCAUAGGAGUCAGUCAGCAACUUAGGGUAAACAACAUUUCUACAAUCCUGGCCAUGCCAUCGCUUCAUGCAACUCAUUGUAGUAGAAAUCUAGACGUCACCAUCACAAGACAAAGCAAAUACAUGUGUUCGGUAUGGCAACGGUUCAAGACUUUCCAAUCCUGACAUACUUUUGGAGUAUUACAAAUAAGACAAUUAGUUCUAUUUCAGUAUAUUGAGACAAUUGUAAUAUCAAUCCCCGCAUGAAAACGACUACAUGCCCUUAUUGUGAAUCAGGAAACAAACAUUAUUUUCUACACAAUGUUUGUAAAGAAGAAAACAAAAUCCAAAUGAACCAUAAUCAUCAUCAUAACUAUCAAUUUAGGAUAAGAUGACAUAGGAGUUCUGAUCCGCAACACUGGACGGUGCAGAGAGGAGCACAUGCAAAAGUUUGUACAAGAAUUUCAGGGUCUACAAACAGGAAGCAUUUGAUAUACUGAUGCAUCCAUAAGCUGAUACAUUGCAAGGAACAAUGCAAGAACUAUUUCUGAAUACGGCUGAUACCUGCAAACAAUAGAGACAAGCCGGGAAAAGUCAGUAAAAUUCUAAUUCAAAUUUCCAAAUUCAUUCUUCUGUGGAAAAGAUUUAGAAUCUUAGAUACAAUUUACAUUGAUGUAAUAAAGGAAAUGAAAUAUUAACUUUUACCA